UGUGUGUUAGUGGAAGCGUCUGGAAAGGCGCGCGAUACAGGGUGACAGCCCCGUACACAAAAAUGCACAUGCUGUGAGCUCGAUGAGUAGGGCGGGACACGUGGUAUCCUGUCUGAAUAUGGGGGGACCAUCCUCCAAGGCUAAAUACUCCUGACUGACCGAUAGUGAACCAGUACCGUGAGGGAAAGGCGAAAAGAACCCCGGCGAGGGGAGUGAAAAAGAACCUGAAACCGUGUACGUACAAGCAGUGGGAGCACGCUUAGGCGUGUGACUGCGUACCUUUUGUAUAAUGGGUCAGCGACUUAUAUUCUGUAGCAAGGUUAACCGAAUAGGGGAGCCGAAGGGAAACCGAGUCUUAACUGGGCGUUAAGUUGCAGGGUAUAGACCCGAAACCCGGUGAUCUAGCCAUGGGCAGGUUGAAGGUUGGGUAACACUAACUGGAGGACCGAACCGACUAAUGUUGAAAAAUUAGCGGAUGACUUGUGGCUGGGGGUGAAAGGCCAAUCAAACCGGGAGAUAGCUGGUUCUCCCCGAAAGCUAUUUAGGUAGCGCCUCGUGAAUUCAUCUCCGGGGGUAGAGCACUGUUUCGGCAAGGGGGUCAUCCCGACUUACCAACCCGAUGCAAACUGCGAAUACCGGAGAAUGUUAUCACGGGAGACACACGGCGGGUGCUAACGUCCGUCGUGAAGAGGGAAACAACCCAGACCGCCAGCUAAGGUCCCAAAGUCAUGGUUAAGUGGGAAACGAUGUGGGAAGGCCCAGACAGCCAGGAUGUUGGCUUAGAAGCAGCCAUCAUUUAAAGAAAGCGUAAUAGCUCACUGGUCGAGUCGGCCUGCGCGGAAGAUGUAACGGGGCUAAACCAUGCACCGAAGCUGCGGCAGCGACGCUUAUGCGUUGUUGGGUAGGGGAGCGUUCUGUAAGCCUGUGAAGGUGUGCUGUGAGGCAUGCUGGAGGUAUCAGAAGUGCGAAUGCUGACAUAAGUAACGAUAAAGCGGGUGAAAAGCCCGCUCGCCGGAAGACCAAGGGUUCCUGUCCAACGUUAAUCGGGGCAGGGUGAGUCGACCCCUAAGGCGAGGCCGAAAGGCGUAGUCGAUGGGAAACAGGUUAAUAUUCCUGUACUUGGUGUUACUGCGAAGGGGGGACGGAGAAGGCUAUGUUGGCCGGGCGACGGUUGUCCCGGUUUAAGCGUGUAGGCUGGUUUUCCAGGCAAAUCCGGAAAAUCAAGGCUGAGGCGUGAUGACGAGGCACUACGGUGCUGAAGCAACAAAUGCCCUGCUUCCAGGAAAAGCCUCUAAGCAUCAGGUAACAUCAAAUCGUACCCCAAACCGACACAGGUGGUCAGGUAGAGAAUACCAAGGCGCUUGAGAGAACUCGGGUGAAGGAACUAGGCAAAAUGGUGCCGUAACUUCGGGAGAAGGCACGCUGAUAUGUAGGUGAGGUCCCUCGCGGAUGGAGCUGAAAUCAGUCGAAGAUACCAGCUGGCUGCAACUGUUUAUUAAAAACACAGCACUGUGCAAACACGAAAGUGGACGUAUACGGUGUGACGCCUGCCCGGUGCCGGAAGGUUAAUUGAUGGGGUUAGCGCAAGCGAAGCUCUUGAUCGAAGCCCCGGUAAACGGCGGCCGUAACUAUAACGGUCCUAAGGUAGCGAAAUUCCUUGUCGGGUAAGUUCCGACCUGCACGAAUGGCGUAAUGAUGGCCAGGCUGUCUCCACCCGAGACUCAGUGAAAUUGAACUCGCUGUGAAGAUGCAGUGUACCCGCGGCAAGACGGAAAGACCCCGUGAACCUUUACUAUAGCUUGACACUGAACAUUGAGCCUUGAUGUGUAGGAUAGGUGGGAGGCUUUGAAGUGUGGACGCCAGUCUGCAUGGAGCCGACCUUGAAAUACCACCCUUUAAUGUUUGAUGUUCUAACGUUGACCCGUAAUCCGGGUUGCGGACAGUGUCUGGUGGGUAGUUUGACUGGGGCGGUCUCCUCCUAAAGAGUAACGGAGGAGCACGAAGGUUGGCUAAUCCUGGUCGGACAUCAGGAGGUUAGUGCAAUGGCAUAAGCCAGCUUGACUGCGAGCGUGACGGCGCGAGCAGGUGCGAAAGCAGGUCAUAGUGAUCCGGUGGUUCUGAAUGGAAGGGCCAUCGCUCAACGGAUAAAAGGUACUCCGGGGAUAACAGGCUGAUACCGCCCAAGAGUUCAUAUCGACGGCGGUGUUUGGCACCUCGAUGUCGGCUCAUCACAUCCUGGGGCUGAAGUAGGUCCCAAGGGUAUGGCUGUUCGCCAUUUAAAGUGGUACGCGAGCUGGGUUUAGAACGUCGUGAGACAGUUCGGUCCCUAUCUGCCGUGGGC
rnacentral:rRNA from 1 species